rnacentral:rRNA from 1 species
UACGUAGGGACCUAGCGUUGUCCGGAAUCAUUGGGCGUAAAGCGCGCGUAGGCGGCCCGGUAAGUCCGCUGUGAAAGUCGAGGGCUCAACCCUCGAAUGCCGGUGGAUACUGUCGGGCUAGAGUGCGGAAGAGGCGAGUGGAAUUCCUGGUGUAGCGGUGAAAUGCGCAGAUAUCAGGAGGAACACCUAUUGCGAAGGCAGCUCGCUGGGACGUUACUGACGCUGAGACGCGAAAGCGUGGGGAGCAAACAGG